rnacentral:rRNA from 1 species
CGGACGGGUGAGUAACGCGUGGAUAACCUGCCGUAUACCGGGGGAUAACACUUAGAAAUAGGUGCUAAUACCGCAUAAGCGCACGGCUCCGCAUGGGGCAGUGUGAAAAACUCCGGCGGUAUACGAUGGAUCCGCGUCUGAUUAGCUAGUUGGCGGGGUAACGGCCACCAAGGCAGCGAUCAGUAGCCGGCCUGAGAGGGUGGACGGCCACAUUGGGACUGAGACACGGCCCAAACUCCUACGGGAGGCAGCAG